UUUUUGAUAUGAAUGGCAAUGGCUUCAAAUAAUCUCAAGAAUUGUUUAUUGAGUUAUUUGUUUUCCCCUUAAUAUACUAACCCAUAUUUACUUUUCUAUUUUUUUAUAGGCAGGUGGAGAAGGAUCACUUCAUUCUGAAGGAUGUGAGAAGGAAUGUGAGAAUCGUUGCUCAACAGCUAAGGACAAGGAAGCAUGUCUAAACUAUUGUAAAAUUUCUUGUGGUGGAAAAUGUUUUUGUGUUCCAUCUGGAACAUCUGGUCAUAAGGAAGAAUGUCCAUGCUACAACAACUAGAAAACUAAGAGAGGAACACCCAAAUGUCCCUAGUUUCUGUAUUGUUCCUGCAUGCAUAAAUCUCAAUCAAAGCAAUUUAUGUUUCUUGAUUAAUAAUAAAAAAACAGUACUUAUAUGUUGAA